rnacentral:tRNA from 1 species
GCGAGCAUAGUUGAUAGAAAGUCCGAUUUUGAAUCGGAACACUUAGGUUCGCUUCCUAAUGCUAGUA